CUGGACACAAAUGAGCACGCUUCCGCCGCGAAACUUAACUGUUUUAAACGUGUUUUUUCUUCUACCAAUACAGCUACAUUACGAUUUUUUGUGUGAGGAAGAUAUUUAAAAUGUAUAAGAUGUUAGAAACAUUUCGGCGUGUAAUAGUGAGGCUGUCACUUCGUAUAUCUUUUUUAAAAAACGAUUUUUAACGUCCUCGUAGUGGGGUUUGGCGACGGAGGCCUGUGGUUGUCAGUAAACGGUGUUGUGAGUGUCAGAAAGCGAAGACAAACACCGUCUGUCAGCCUGUCUGGCGGCUGCUGCGAUGAUUGAUGUGGACCGAACUAUUCAGAUGGCUGCAGAGAAACUUCUCACCCAUGAAAGACAAACUAGAUGAUUGGUUCUUUGCCACCAGUUGUAGAAGAAGAAGAAGAAGAAGCUGCAGGGCUGAGAAAGACAAAGAAGGAGAGCGAGGAAGAGGAAGACAGUGAGGAGGUGAGGUGACAGAAAAGUGACUUACGGAAGACGGGAAAGGGGGAUGUUCCCUUCAGAGCAUGAAACUCCUGCUCCAGUCUCCUCCUGAAGUCUAUCUGCUCCAGGAGAACCUUCUGGAGCUCCUCUGGAGGAGCAGGAGAAAAAGAAAAAUGCAUUAAAAUACAUCUUCCGAAAGGUGGGGAUGUGUGUAAGCUGUGACUUAAAAAAAAAAAAAAAACAUCUCAAAGGUUGUAGGCAUCUUGGCUAAGGAGGGGUUUAAAGGUUAAUAACACAUAUGUAAGUCUAUUGUCUUGUCUUCUACAUAUGGACUUCUCUUGUGUGCAUUUUUAUAUUUACAUCUGUUUCUAGCCACACUGCUUAAAUAUAUAAUAAUGUCUUUAAUGCUUGAUCUGAGGUAUAGAGUCUGAGCUACAUGAAAGCUGCAGCACACGUGCAAUAUUCAAAUGAAAUCUUGUGGUCAGUGGGCAAUCGAAACACUUCAAUUUUUUUUUUUUUUUGUCAUCAACAAUAGUUAAUGUUCUUCUUUAGAUAACGUACAAGUAAAAUCAGU